AGAGAGAGAGAAAGGAAAAGGUGGCUUUGAAGAGGCAAGUGCAAAGAUACCAGAGACGGGGUAUUGUCAUUUUAGGCAGUUAAUUGACGGUUUCACUUACCAGGGAGCUCCCAUCAUGGGCUCCCAAAAGGCCUGACAACUGCUAGGCCCACGGGCCAUUAGCUGCACCUUUACUGAGGGGCUGCACUAUGCAUGUCUGAAAGCCGCGUGGGACAGAGGAAGGGGCAGGGAUGAGGGAAAGGACGGGGUGAGGGAAGGAAGGGAGGGUAAACCUAACUACGGCAACCUUGAGCAGGCUGGAAGAGGCUUCCUCAGGUAGGGGUGAUGUCACAAUCACAGGUUGAGAUCAGCUGCCCGGGCCACGCUGGCUCCUCGCAGGCAGGCGAGAUUUGGGAACAGCCAGGAUCCCCUCCGCACGGGAGAACAGCUCUAGACGCGCAGAGGGGCGGAGUCCAAACGGGUGCCAUCACCGUACAUCCUGGGAGCUGUAGUCUCUUAACCGCUCGUAGCCCGUUGGUGGCAAGGCGACAGUAUUACAAUCCCAGCAUGCGCAAGUCUGGGGGCGGUGCGAAGCCCUGGGGACACGGCGGUGCGCGCCUAGCUAGACAUGCUGAGAGAUGUAGUCUCUUAACCUCUCGCAGUCCCUAGGUUGCAGGACUGCAGGACUACAAUCCCGGCAUGCUCCGGGCUCGGGGUUUGGGCAUAGCUUUAGAAAGAGAGGCAGGGCGGCAGGGCGGCAGGGCGGCAGGGCGCGGUGGUUUUCGCCUGUAAUCCCAGCUCUUUGGGAAGCCGAGGCAGGCGGAUCACGAGAAGGCGUUGUAACAUCUCACUAAGCCCAGCACUCAGGCGAUGUGGCUUUCCUGCUAUGGCACUGCACACAAGAAGAAUGUUGACAUAUUCCUGGCCCAGAAUUCAGGUGGUUUGGUGACUCUCAAACCAUGAUUCAGCAGACCUGUGAGGCUGUGAGUUCCCUAUCAGAACACAAUCUGCAGGUUGUAUUGUGCCAUAUACCUGGGACCAAAUUACAAGCACAAUGAUGAAUCUUUUACCUGGAGUCAAGACAUGGGCAGGAUGAUGGAACUUAUCACUGGACCUUUCCACAGUGUUAUUGUGACAUAUGCCUUUGCCCAACAUGUGGUGAUUUGACUCCCCAGACUGGGUCCAGUUCACAAAUAAAAUUGUGCCGUAUACUUGGCCAAGAACCUAA
rnacentral:lncRNA from 1 species